CCCCAGGUUUGACAUCUGUGUGUCUUAUAAAGGCAAAAUUUUCAUUCUGUGGGAGGCAACGUUCCCGUCGACAGCGAGACGUCUGUGGUGACUUCAUCAAUUUCAAGAUCCAAUCCACCGGCUCAGUCUUCCAAAGGUGCUAAUAGAGAUAGUGUGUGCGUGUGUGUUCAUAAGGUUGAAUGUAUGCGCGUGUAUGUGAGCGACUAUAUUUAUGAUGUGUUUUUGAAAAAACACAAUAACACUGGUAUGUAGAAUCAAAUAAAUCAAGGCCCAGACUACUAUUUAUGGGCCAAAACAGCGACUACCAAUUUAGGCACAAUAAAAGCCCGUGAGUAUAUUAAUACUAGGUAUACCAGUCUAGCCGGGUUUAGUUUAUCCAGCUUAUUAUACAUAUUAUAAUCUAAAUGGUGUAUUUCAUGUUAUUUCACCUAUUUUCCAUCACCAUACUAGCCCCACGCCGCGCCCAUCAUUGCUAGUUAGUUAACAGCCCAACGUGUUUGGGCUUCAAGCAUUUACCGUUCACUUUCCUUCUUCGUUCUCCUUCCAGGUCGUGGGGCGGCGAAACUCAUCUGCUCGCCAACUAUCCUCCGCCUCCGCAGCUGUUCUUGGUCCGCCCGCGCCGCCAUUCUUCGUACCCCUGCGACGGCGAAUCGCACUCCGGCAUGGACAGCUCAAUUAGCUCCGCCUGUGCCGCCAUUGUUGGUCAAUGCGUUACUCUCCAUUUCUAGGAGCCACUAAUUUAUGUGGAGGCGUCCAAUUCUUCGCGUGCAGAUGGUGGAGGUGUUGUCAGUCAAAGUGCUGGAAGUUAGAUUUGUUCGAUUGAUCCAAGGAGUACUGCUGGAAUUUUUGGGCAUUUGGCCUUUGGCCGAUGGUCCAUUAUCAAAUUCUGAAACUCACAUGGUCCAUUCCAAAAAUCGGUGGCAGCAUUAGUGGGGGAUAAAGUUUAGUUCCACAUUGCUAGUUGGGAGAGAG